AUCGUCCGUGAGGAACAUUGCUGACAUCCGAAUAGUAGUAUCUGUUCUUUCUAGUUUAACAGCUAGAAGAUAUCCGACAGGAUGUCCCAACUGUUAUCUUCUUUUUGUACUGUCGCUGGAGUCGUCCUCUGUGCUUGCGCAUGACACUCUGGCAUUGUGUCCGAGGUCUUACACUGCCGCCUUGUGAUGCUAAGACAU
rnacentral:snRNA from 1 species